rnacentral:lncRNA from 1 species
GGAACUCUCUCCUGGGGGGCCGGGCUGCACCCAGCAAGGCCUCCAGCCCUCUGGGGCGCGGGGUGAGACGGGAGGGUGUCUCUGACUCUCUUCUCCUCUCUGCUCUGCACUUCACCGACCUUGCCGGACCCUCCCUCCCUGCCGCGCUCACGGCUCACGGCUCCACAGCACUGAAAGUUCACGUCUCUCCCUCUGCUUUGUCCACCUUCUUAUCUCUGGCAGAGAAGUCUCUUAGCCCAGGGACUGGAUAGAUGACGAUAUGGCUUUCACCUUCCGAAAGGUGGGGCAUCUUAUCUGAGGGACCUCCUGGGACGAGGUCUGCAGAGGGCUGGUGGUGACCCUGAAACUGAGGGCUACCUAGGAGUCAGGUCUGUUUCUUCCCCGCCACUUCUUCCCCAGGCAGGCAGUAUUUACCCACACUGUCGAAGGCACAGAGAGGUCCAGCAGCCAGACCCGGGUUGCACAGCCCCUUGUGGGGUGGGUAGGAGGCUGGUCUGCCACCACCUCCACUCUCAAGGAGACUCAAGUCUCCUGCACCCUCCUGCCUGGCCCUGCCCCCUUCCUGCUUCUGCCCCGGGGCUGAGGGAGCCCUGGAAGGUGUAGUCUGUGUCCCCGCCUCUUUGCGGCAGGAACGUCCAGGGUCCCCAUGCCCCCUGUGGCUCGUGUGACUUUUCCUGGUCCCCUGCGUGGCUGCACCACACCUUACUCACCCAGUCACCCCCCUGAGAGACAUCUGGGUCGCUUCUACCUCCCGGCCCACCUUCAAAGCUGUCUACACUCAGCCCAACACGCCAUCUGGUCCGAGCCUUGAGCCACCUCCAAACCCCACCUUCAUGCAGGAGGGGCUUCAGUCAAACCCAAGAGACCCCAGAUGAAAAACGAUGCUACACAUCCCAGACCUGUCCCAAGUGCUGUGCUUGUCACCUCAAGAGGCCAUCCUGUCCUACAAGUGAGGAUGUUGCAGCAGAGAGGGAGAGUGACCUACUCAGAUCACACAGCAAGGUGCCGAUGAGAGUCCAGGCAGCCUGGACCCUGCUCUCUGGUCGCUGUCUCUGCCCACCCGGCUCAAUGUGCUCCUAACCGUGAUCUGAUAAUGCUUGAAGCACCUCCUAUUAGCAGGUCCCUGCCUGGUUCUUGCACUGGGAGGGUUAUUAUCACCCUGUUGUUAAGGAGGGUGGAGUUCAGAGUGGGAACAGGAGGGUGUGGCCUCCUGGUGUAGCCCUGCUGCACACCCAGGGCUCUGAGGACUGGGAACUCACUCCACAGCCGAGGGCUCAGCCUCCUGGGGUCUGUGCUGCUGCCCUGCCCAGGUAGCUCCUGCCCCUGGGCCUGGGGGAGAAACAGGAUCUGGCCCUUAGUGGAAUGGUGGUCGGUGGGGAGGGUUUGCCGCUCUGAGGCGUCUGGAUGCCUGGAGACAUUUCUGCCAGAACCCAGGAGGUGGCGGGAGGCAGAUGGCACCUGGCUGAACCGGGCAGGUUGCUGAGCACCUUGUGUAGAGCGCCCACAGCCAGACUCCUCUGGCCGACUCCAACUAGUGUGGAGGCUGAAGCCGCUGAGCACCGUGCCUGGGGUGGGGCUGGCGAGGGCUGUCCUGGCCAGCGGGCGCUGCUGUCUGCCCAUUUCCCUGGGGCCUGCCCACCUCACGCUGCAGACACUUGAGCAGACAGCACCCUCCAAACAGCAGAGCAGCCUGCGCAGCAACAGGGAAAGCAGACCCAGAAAGCCCCCAAGGCUCGAGGGAGACCCACGUGCGCCAGGCCGCAGCCCGUGGUCGCCUCUUUCUGGAGGCCGGGUGGCAGUGGAGAGGCUGGGUGUUGAGGCCAUGGACGGGGCUGGGGCUCCGCUCUGGGAUGUAAGUCAACAGCCGGGGCUUUUGUCUUCUCCCCGAGGAGCAGAGGCUCUUCUCUUGGACUCAGAGAUACAGAGCAGAGGUCCUCAACAGUUUCUUCCGUAGAGCACCCGGGAGCAGACAUCUUGGGCUCCCUGGUGACUGCUCAACGCUGGUGCAGCCUGCCAAUUGGUCAAGGUGGACUGGCUGUGUCCACUGAGGCUUUUAGGCCAAGGGCCUCAAGUGCCGGUCUGCCGAUGAAGGGACGGAGAAAGGAAGUCAGCCACACUGGGAGGAGGCACGGCCCCCACACCCGAGCCUUGAGCACACGCGCUCAGGUGGGGAAGCCAGGCUCAGGCCAUCUGUGGGAGAUGUCCAGAACAGGCAGACCAGAGACAGGAAGGCCAGGGAACGGGGGUGGCCAGCCUGGGCGGGAUUUGGAGACCACAGCUAACCUCGGGAUUCUCUUUGGGGUGGUGAAGAUGUCUAAGGUGGCCUGUGUGAAGUCUGCACACACCUGUGAACGUGCUAAGCCGCUGACUGCGCGGCUGCGGUCCUGUGGUCCUGUUCAGAUGGGGUUGUUAUAGCAGCAGGUUCAGAAGACCGUGCCACCCGCUGUGCACAGUGGGGAGGAGAGGGGUGCCCGCCAGGGCUUGCCCUCCGUGGCUGGCACCUCCCACCGGGUCUGACUGGGCUCUUCCUCCUCGUGGCCCACCUCUCGUGGACUCAACACUGUCCUGUGCCCCUGGACCACGCUGGCUUCUGGACCGAGGACAGAGAUUCUGGGUGAGACUGUGGGAAGCUGGCCUUGGCCCUCCGAUGUGCCAGGAGGAGUGGGUGGGCGGCCCUGACUGUGCUCCUGCUGGGGCCUCUGCAGUAGUCCCAUGGGGGAGGUGGACAGCCACAGAUCAUCCAAGGACAGUAUCAGCCGGUGUCCCGAGGGAGUGGGCGGAGAAGGGUGGUCAGGACAGAGAAAGUUCUGGAACCCAGCAGUCUCGUGGCCUGUGGGCGUGGUCUUGGUGACUCCCCCAUCUGUCCUUGCCCUAGGCUUGCUGAGUCUUCAGGUGCUGAACGGUGAGUCGCCCC